AACACUAAUGCAAAUGAUUUUGGUUGACUGGUAUGGUGUAUCUGUAUAAUGUAUUGUUGAAGCGUUUCAGUUCGAUUUGGGCAGCUUGCUUUUAGUUCAGAUUGGCAAAUCCCGUCACGUGAUAUGCUGAUCGAUGGUCAUGUAAUUGAGCGUAGCUGUGAUCUAUUAUAUAUCAAAUAACAAUAUAGUGGUAUACAAAAUAGUAUUCAUGAUUGAUCUUGUGGCUACAUGCAUAGCAUUAAAUAGCUUGCAGAUGAUCCGUGUCUAUGAGUUGUAUAACCUGUCUUUUUGGUUGUCUGUACAUCUAAUUUGAGGCACUUGCAAACGACUCCCGUCUGUGAGUUGUACAUAACCUAAUAGUCAUAGACGAUGUUUCCAAAGGGUCAGCUAUAGCAUACUUUCUCUGUCUCAAAAUCAGUGCUUAUCUUGCACUCGAAGGAGUAAAUUUGACUAAAUAUAUAUAAAAAGUACCUGAGAUACUUUAUCUCUCUAAAAAGUUAAAAUAACUUAUAAUUUACAACGAAGAGAGCAACAUUUUUAGGAAGAAUUUUGAUCUCGGAUCUACAGAAACUAUGACGAAAAAUGCAAAUAAAAUCUUGCGUAAAAAUACAAUUAAAUGGGUCACCCUUAAUUUUUAGCAUAUAUUUUAGAAAAUCAAAAAGAUUUUUUUGAGGCUCUAGGUCCUUAAUUUUGGAUCCAAAAAAAAUUAAAAUGUCAUAAUUUGAAACUCUCUUUAUCAUUACUCGUAUAAGAGGAUUUGCAUUAAAAAAAAGGAAAAAAUCCACUUUAUCUCGUUCAAUUUUCAAAAAAGUUUAUUUUCCUCUCUAAACUCUAAAAUCGGACAAGCCACCUCUUUCUCAACUUUUAAAACUGUUUAACUUACCUCCCUAGCC
rnacentral:lncRNA from 1 species